UACGAGGGGUGCAAGCGUUGCUCGGAAUUAUUGGGCGUAAAGGGUAGGUAGGUGGUCUCAUUUGUCGGGGUGAAAGCCUUGUGCUUAACACAAGAAGUGCCCCCGAACGGUGAGACUCGAGUCUUGGAGAGGUUGCGGAAUUCCGGUGUAGCGGUGAAAUGCGUAGAGAUCGGGAGGAACACCAGAGGCGAAGGCGGCAACCUGGACAAGUACUGACACUCGAACUACGAAAGCGUGGGGAGCAAACAGG
rnacentral:rRNA from 1 species